AUGAACGCUGGCGGCGUGCCUAAUACAUGCAAGUCGAGCGAACAGACGAGGAGCUUGCUCCUCUGACGUUAGCGGCGGACGGGUGAGUAACACGUGGAUAACCUACCUAUAAGACUGGGAUAACUUCGGGAAACCGGAGCUAAUACCGGAUAAUAUAUUGAACCGCAUGGUUCAACAGUGAAAGACGGUUUUGCUGUCACUUAUAGAUGGAUCCGCGCCGCAUUAGCUAGUUGGUAAGGUAACGGCUUACCAAGGCAACGAUGCGUAGCCGACCUGAGAGGGUGAUCGGCCACACUGGAACUGAGACACGGUCCAGACUCCUACGGGAGGCAGCAGUAGGGAAUCUUCCGCAAUGGGCGAAAGCUUGACGGAGCAACGCCGCGUGAGUGAUGAAGGUCUUCGGAUCGUAAAACUCUGUUAUUAGGGAAGAACAAAUGUGUAAGUAACUACGCACGUCUUGACGGUACCUAAUCAGAAAGCCACGGCUAACUACGUG
rnacentral:rRNA from 1 species